UACGUAGGGUGCGAGCGUUGUCCGGAAUUAUUGGGCGUAAAGGGCUCGUAGGCGGUUUGUCGCGUCGGGAGUGAAAUCCACUGGCUUAACUGGUGGCUUGCUUUCGAUACGGGCAGACUGGAGGUAUGCAGGGGAGAACGGAAUUCCUGGUGUAGCGGUGAAAUGCGCAGAUAUCUGGAGGAACACCGGUGGCGAAGGCGGCAUCCUGGACCGAUACUGACGCUGAGGAGCGAAAGCCAGGGGAGCAAACGGGG
rnacentral:rRNA from 1 species